ensembl:lncRNA
UGGAAAAUAAAUACAGAGAAUUCAUAGCUGAGACCCUGCACUGCCUAAUUAAGCUCAAGAGAGAUCUCUUAAGCAGCCUAUUAACCUUGGACAAAAACUCAGCCUAUCCUCUCCCAAACAUCUCUGAAGACUUACGGACAGUGAUGAGGGUCAAAAAGUUUUGACCACUGGUCUCAGGUGGUCUCCUGUCAGAUAUUUUCUUCAGGAACCCAUUACUGGGAGCUGGAGGUGGAGGGAUUCUGGGAUAUAGCAGUGAACUACAGCUAUAUCCCUAUACAGCAGUGAUAUCCUGGAGCCUGACACAGCAGCAUGACAGGAAACUUGCUGCCUGGCAUAACCGAAAGAAAACCCACCUCUCCGCAAAAAUGUCUGGCAACCAUUUAGCAGUUACUCUGGACUAUGAUUCUGGCUCCAUCACCUUUUCAGAAGUAGGUUCUUCAUCCACCUAGCUCCCUCUGCACAGUUUCAGCACCAGAUUCACCCAGCCCGUCUGCCUAGGCUUUGGCCUCUACAAACCAGAGCUGAACAGCAGGGUCACCAUCCUCAAGAAAAUAUGAUGGCAUUUCCAUCUCGGCAUUUUACUGUAAUUUUAAGGGGAACUGAGAUCCAAUGCCUCUGUCUCCAAUAAUGGAUAUUCAAAAUUAGCUAAAUAUAUAUCUCAUAAUAUAUUGCCAGUGCCCUUUUUUGAAGGCUCUUAAAUGCAUAAAAGUGCAAUUUAAAAUGCAUUUAAAAUAUUAAAUAUUUCCAAUGUCAGCAGCCUUUGUCAUCACAGCUCAGGAAAGACACCAUAGUGAAGGGUUUGGGAUUGUGAUGCACCAUCAGCCAAUCAGCACUGUCAGCUGUUCCGUACAGUUUAUGUGAUUGGCUCAAAAAGUUCUGUGCUUCCGUGAAAAAAAAAAAAAAAUCAUGUACUGUCAAGUUGUCCUGCACCAGCUGAUAAACCACCAUUGAGAAGAAGCUUUCUCCUGUUAUUAUAGACCUCACUGUUGGCAGCCCUUCCUUCAACAUCUAGGUUCAGGUAUCCUUACUAAAGCAGUGCAGCCAUUGCUUUGUUUUUAAAAUAAACGCACAAUUUUAAAAAUAGCCCUUUAA